UUCACGGUUCUGAUUUGUUUAUAAUGAAUAUUUCAAUUUCAUUGGCAUUUUUAACCCAUAGUACAACGCAAAGUUUUACUGGUACAAUAAAUAGACAUUCCUUUAAUUCAGAAGAUUUCACUUUCUAACUUUGAAAAUUGAGGGUAAAAAAUUAGUCCUUUGAUUGGAAACAAGGAAGUUUAGAAAUAAUGACAUAAUAUAUAACCUAUUUCAACCAAAGUUCCCCACGUGCUCUUUUCUUGAUUUUGUGUAUCAUUUUGUGACCCUAACGCUUUACUUUUGUGGUUCCCUAGGAGAAGGAAUGAAGCAAAACAUCUAAACAAUCUUUUAUGUUGAGCUGGUAUCAUCAUCAAAUCUCUCGCUCACACGAUCCCUUUACUAGUUGAAAGAGUCUCUUUGGAUUGCUAUGGCAUAGUGAAAUAUAUAGAUGGAUUUUAAAUCUUGCAAUUAUAUGUAUAUUAGGCAAGUACAAUUUAAUUAUUUGAUACAUAUUUUAAUAUACUAUUGCACAUUGCUCGUCACUGCCGUGUUCUAGAAGUUUCAUACACAAGCAUUUCAUGAGCAGGGGCGAAGUCAGGUAUUGACGUGGACUAAUUUUCAGUGGGGAAGAACAGAAAUGAAUUUAGAAAAAAAAAAAAGUCCAAUUUUAUUUGUGUAAGGACAUAUAAAUUCAUUGCAAGAAGUAGCCACAGAUUCUAAAAUGGUUUGCUAUUAGCAAUUUGUUCAAGAAAAGAUAUGCUAGCAUACUUUUAUCUUCUUCUCGAGAAUUUCCUAUGUAGAUCAAACUUGGCUCUUGUUUGGCGAUUGUUAUUUCAAUUUAUAUUUCUACAUACUCAU
rnacentral:lncRNA from 1 species